CAGUCGCCACGGUAAUACGAAGGGGGCUAGCGUUGUUCGGAUUUACUGGGCGUAAAGGGUGCGUAGGCGGAUUGUUAAGUCAGGGGUGAAAUCCCGAGGCUCAACCUCGGAACUGCCUUUGAUACUGGCGAUUUUGAGUCCGGGAGAGGUGAGUGGAACUGCGAGUGUAGAGGUGAAAUUCGUAGAUAUUCGCAAGAACACCGGUGGCGAAGGCGGCUCACUGGCCCGGAACUGACGCUGAGGCACGAAAGCGUGGGGAGCAAACAGGAUUAGAUACCCGUGUAGUCCCUGUCUCUUAUAC
rnacentral:rRNA from 1 species